rnacentral:rRNA from 1 species
UGGGGAAUAUUGGACAAUGGGCGCAAGCCUGAUCCAGCCAUGCCGCGUGUGUGAAGAAGGCCUUUUGGUUGUAAAGCACUUUAAGCGAGGAGGAGGCUACUUGGAUUAAUACUCUAGGAUAGUGGACGUUACUCGCAGAAUAAGCACCGGCUAACUCUGUGCCAGCAGCCGCGGUAAUACAGAGGGUGCGAGCGUUAAUCGGAUUUACUGGGCGUAAAGCGUGCGUAGGCGGCUUCUUAAGUCGGAUGUGAAAUCCCUGAGCUUAACUUAGGAAUUGCAUUCGAUACUGGGAAGCUAGAGUAUGGGAGAGGAUGGUAGAAUUCCAGGUGUAGCGGUGAAAGGCGUAGAGAUCUGGAGGAAUACCGAUGGCGAAGGCAGCCAUCUGGCCUAAUACUGACGCUGAGGUACGAAAGCAUGGGGAGCAAACAGG